rnacentral:rRNA from 1 species
AUUGAACGCUGGCGGCAGGCCUAACACAUGCAAGUCGAACGAGUGGCGGACGGGUGAGUAAUGUCUGGGAAACUGCCCGAUGGAGGGGGAUAACUACUGGAAACGGUAGCUAAUACCGCAUACCAUCGGAUGUGCCAAGAUGGGAUUAGCUUGUAGGUGAGGUAACGGCUAACCUAGGCGACGAUCCCUAGCUGAUCUGAGAGGAUGACCAGCCACACGGGAAGUGAGACACGGUCCAGACUCCCACGGGAGGCAGCAGUGGGGAAUAUUGGACAAUGGGCGAAAGCUGGAUGCAGCCAUGCCGCGUGUAGGCAGAAGGCCUUCGGGUUGUAAAGUACUUUCAGCGGGGAGGCGUUACCAGCAGAAGAAGCACCGGCGAACUCCGUGCCAGCAGCCGCGGUAAUUC